rnacentral:ncRNA from 2 species
AUAAGAGUUAGAGGUUGCGACUUCGAUGAGUAAUUGAGUGUAGGCAGAAUGAGGCUGAAGAAACUCAAAUGAAAGGCGAAGUCGCCGAAGCGAUAUCCAUUGUCAUUCAUUGAUAUCGUUGGGUCAGACAUCGAAAGGUGCUGGACUGUCACAAUUGUGAUGUGCUACCUAUAAU